AGUACUUCUUGAUGCUGCCACGUGAAGAAGGACAUGUUUGCUUCCCCUUCCACCAUGAUCCUAAGGCCUCCCCAGCCAUACAGAACUUCCCCAAACUACAAACACAAAGGAAGCUCCCAUGGAAUCGGAUGAUGGCACUGUACGAAUCAAGAUGCAGCUAGCAAUAAAAACAGAAGACACCAACACCAGCAGUCCAGAGACCUCCAGUAUAACAUAAAGUGUUCAUAGUAUCCUGAGGAUUCCAGUCACACAGGCUCAAACCUGAGGAUCACCCCGGAUCCUUCCUCUCCGUUGUCCGGAAAAAUCCUACCUCCUAUCCUUUCUAACCCUCCAUCCCACUGUCACUCCUCUAAUUCAGAAAUUUCUCUCCUUUCUUCCCCCAUGCACCCCAAUCUCAUAUAGUGGUGUGAUAUGAUUUGGCUCUGUGUCCCCAACCAAAGCUCAUCUUGUAGUUCCCAUAAUCCCCAUGUGUUAUGGGAGGGACCUGGUGGGAGAUGAUUGAAUCAUGAGGGUGGGUCUUUCCCAUGCUGUUCUCGUGAUAGUGAAUGGGUCUCACGAGAUCUGAUGGUUUUAAAAAUGGGAGUUUCUCUGCACAAGCCCUCUCUUUGCCUGCUGCCAUCCACGUAAGAUGUGACUUGCUCCUCCUUGCCUUCUGCCAUGAUUGUGAGGCCUCCCCAGCCACGUGGAACUGUAAGUCCAAUGAAACUCUUUCUUUCGUAAAUUGCCCAGUCUCUAGUAUGUCUUUAUCAACAGUGUGAAAACGGACUAAUACAUGGUGCCAGGCUGAGCAUUUGGAAACAGUGUUCUAACAAUGCCACUCAUCUGUUCCAAAAUUGCCAAAGGAUCCACACUGCCUAGAGUGAAAUUCAAAUGUGAGCCUGUAAAUCAAAGCGCUUCAUGAGUUCUUCCCAACCUACCUUUCCAUCACAGCCCAACAUCAGGCAAACAGAACCACUGUCUUCUCCGUUCAUUUCCCACUUGGUUCUACUUCUGGGUUUUGCUCUGUUUGGCAUGUGUUUUCCUGCAUCACUGCAUUUCCGAGUCUUACCCAUCCUUCAAAGUUCAUGUCACAUCACCUCCUGCAAGAACAUUCUCUGAUCCUCUCCUGCGUGCAUAAUCACUCCCUCUUUUGGACUCCUGCAACCCUGUGUGCCACUCUUUCGCACUGAGUAAAAGUAUGUGCAUUUC
rnacentral:lncRNA from 1 species